AAGUCGUAACAAGGUCUCCGUAGGUGAACCUGCGGAGGGAUCAUUAACACGUUUAACAACGUACCCACCAAACAUUGGAAACAGCCGCAAGGCAGUUCUCUCCCUCUAUCAAUUGCUUGCAAUGGAUGGAGGCUAUUCCUUCUAUCAACCCCUUUCCAACUUCAAUGUCGGCUUGCGCCCUGUGUGCAUGUCGCCAUUGUCCUGUCUGACCUGUAUUCUAUGUAUAGUCAUUGUGACAGUUUGGACUUUGUCCUCUCUGUCUUCUGUCUGUUUAUAGUUGAUAUUUAAUGCAAAGCACAACUCUUAGCAACGGAUAUCUUGGUUCUC
rnacentral:misc_RNA from 1 species